rnacentral:rRNA from 1 species
CUUGCUUUCUCCGCCGGCGACCGGCGCACGGGUGAGUAACACGGUAUGGAACCUGCCCGCCACAGGGGGAUAACCCGGGGAAACCCGGCCUAAUACCCCAUGCCGCCCGGACCGGGCAUCCGGUCCGGGCGAAAGGAGGAAUCCGGUGGCGGCUGGGCAUGCGGCGCAUUAGCUUGACGGCGGGGUAACGGCCCACCGUGGCGACGAUGCGUAGGGGUUCUGAGAGGAAGGCCCCCCACACUGGAACUGAGACACGGUCCAGACUCCUACGGGAGGCAGCAG